rnacentral:rRNA from 1 species
UGGGGAAUCUUGCACAAUGGGGGAAACCCUGAUCCAGCGACGCCGCGUGAACGAUGAAGGUCUUCGUAUCGUAAAGUUCUGUCCUUUGGGAAGAUAAUGACAGUACCAUAGAAGAAAGCUCCGGCUAAAUCCGUGCCAGCAGCCGCGGUAAUACGUAUGGAGCGAGCGUUGUCCGGAAUUAUUGGGCGUAAAGGGUACGCAGGCGGUUUAAUAAGUCGAAUGUUAAAGAUCGGGGCUCAACCCCGCAAAGCAUUGGAAACUGAUAGACUUGAGUAGUGGAGAGGAAAGUGGAAUUCCGAGUGUAGAGGUGAAAUACGUAGAUAUUAGGAGGAAUACCAGUGGCGAAGGCGACUUUCUGGACACAAACUGACGCUGAGGUGCGAAAGCGUGGGGAGCAAACAGG